AAAUUUACAUAUUAGCAAAAAUAUGCCUUAAACUUAGAAUUUAAUUUACCUCUAA
rnacentral:tRNA from 1 species